UUUGACUUUUAAUUCGGCGUUAACUUUGACUUUGCACAAAGUUAAGAUACAGUAAGUUAGGUUGCACAAAAUACUUUUACAGAAAGAUGGAAUGCACAAAAUUAGGUCUCAGAAAGAUAGGUUAUGCACAUAGAUAGUUCACAGAAAGUUAGUUUGCACAAAGUUAGGUUGCAUAAUGUUAGGUUGCCCAGAGUUAGGUUUCACAAAGUUAGUUUGCACGCAGUUAGGUUUCACAAAGUUAGUUUGCACACAGUUAGGUUUCACAAAGUUAGGUUGCACACAGUUAGGUUUCACAAAGUUAGGUUGCACACAGUUUCGUUUCACAAAGUUAGGUUGCACACAGUUAGGUUUCACAAAGUUAGGUUGCACACAGUUAGGUUUCACAAAGUUAGGCUGCACACAGUUAGGUUGCACACAGUAAGGUUUCACAAAGUUAGGUUGCACACAGUUAGGUUUCACAAAGUUAGGUUGCACACAGUUAGGUUUCACAAAGUUAGGUUGCACACAGUUAGGUUUCACAAAGUUAGGUUGCACACAGUUAGGUUUCACAAAGUUAGGUUGCACACAGUUAGGUUGCACACAGUUAGUUUGCACACAGUUAGGAUUCACAAAGUUAGGUAUCACACAGUUUGGUUGCACAAAGUUAGGUUAGUAGGCGUAGAGUUCAGCAGAUCUUGUUUUAGAUGUGCUCCGUCUGUUGUUGUUUAGAAGUUAAGACUACUGCCGAUUUUGCAUGUAAUUAUUCAUCAAAAUAAUGUUAAGGCUUAUAAUUUUGAAAAGUCAAGUUUUGUGAACUUAUAUUUUCAUUAUAAUUAUGUAUUUGAGAUAGUUGUCACUAAUUUUAUCUGUGCUUCCUACUUGGGCUUUUGGAUUGCGAAUUUUACGCUCCGUUUUCGGCAAGUUAUUCGCCAUUCUUUAUGAAAUUUUGUUUAUUUAUGAAAAAACAGUUUUUCGACCAAAACUUUAAAAUUUUGCUCUAUACUUACCUAAUAUUAUAUACCAUUGGAUAGCUCUCGCCGAGACGCUUCUUUUGACACCACUUUUGUUACGAUAUCUUUUACGAAACGUCAAAAAUUGCCCCGCCCACCCACCCGGUGUGUACAGGGCAGGUAAACUUUGCCUCAAGGUCAUAUUGUGAUUACCGCGUUUUGAAUGAAAUUUGUCUCGAAAUGGCUUGUAGUUGCCUGCACAAACAUCUUUUGUUCUAACAAAACCCUCAUAGUCGUACCAGGGAGUGUCAAUGCGAGUGUUUUGAUAUUAACUUUUCGAUAUGUCCACCCGACAAAUAGUAAAUAGUAGGUUUAUGAAUUAAGUGGUUCAACAGUAGACAUUUGUAAAAAAUAAUGUUUAUUUUAUACUAGUGUAAGUCUAAGUGGACACUUUUCCCUAUAUAAAAAUAUAGCAAAUGAACCAUUUAUAUAUAUUUAUAUAUAGUACCUGUAAUAGCACCGCUCCACACCAGCAUUCAACUUCUCAUUCAAUUUAGAGCAUUAAAUCGUGUGGAGUAUAUAUUUUAUAAUGUCAAAAGGCAACGGCCGGCAGUCAGCGCGCUUGCCGCUACCACACAACUCGGCUCGCAGCCCGCGUGCUGCAAGCGAGCGGACCUUAUGCGUACAGUGCGCCGACGGCAGGCUCAGCGAAACAAUGUCAUUGCUUGCUCGCAAGUCCUAGGCGUCUUCUAUCAUAAUUGUCUUAAAACAAUAUUGAUUUUGCGGUGACAGUAAGCUUACACCUCGCGGCCACUGCGCGGACUGUGAGCUUACACCUCGCGGCCGUCGCCCGGACUGCGAGCUUGCACCUUGCGGACAACGCGUAGUUAGCGCGCUGGCAGCUAGCCGUAGUCUAAAUUCGAGGCGCGCCGCGCUGCAGCUGUGCUAUUGCGGUGCCGGUAUAAUGUGCCAUGACCUUUAGACGUAAGGUGUAGCCCGGACGAUCGUCUUUUUUCAUACAAAAACCACGGUGCGGCAACAGUCCUGUUGUCGAGCGUUCGACGUGUACUCACUUCAUGGAUUUCCUUAUAUACUUCCUUAAGUACUCCCCUUAUGAACUGCCUUAUG
rnacentral:lncRNA from 1 species